rnacentral:rRNA from 1 species
GAUGAACGCUGGCGGCGUGCCUAAUACAUGCAAGUCGAGCGAACAGACGAGGAGCUUGCUCCUCUGACGUUAGCGGCGGACGGGUGAGUAACACGUGGAUAACCUACCUAUAAGACUGGGAUAACUUCGGGAAACCGGAGCUAAUACCGGAUAAUAUAUUGAACAGCAAGGUUCAAUAGUGAAAGACGGUUUUGCUGUCACUUAUAGAUGGAUCCGCGCCGCAUUAGCUAGUUGGUAAGGUAACGGCUUACCAAGGCAACGAUGCGUAGCCGACCUGACAGGGUGAUCUGACACACUGGAACUGAGACACGGUCCAGACUCCGACGGGAAGCAGCAGUAGGGAAUCUUCCGCAAGGGGCGAAAGCCUGACGGAGCAACGCCGCGUGAGUGAUGAAGGUCUUCGGAUCGUAAAACUCUGUUAUUAGGGAAGAACAAAUGUGUAAGUAACUAUGCACGUCUUGACGGUACCUAAUCAGAAAGCCACGGCUAACUACGUG